UGUCCUUACAGAAGGUUAGAGGGAUAAUGUCCUGACAGAAUGUCAGAGGGAUAAUGUCCUGACAGAAGGUCAGAGGGAUAAUGUCCUGACAGAAUAAGAGGAUAAUGUCCUGACAGAAGGUCAGAGGGAUAAUGUCCUGACAGAAGGUCAGAGGGAUACUGUCCUGACAGAAGGUCAGAGGGAUACUGUCCUGACAGAAGA